GACGAACGCUGGCGGCGUGCCUAAUACAUGCAAGUAGGACGCAGUUGCGAACGGGUGAGUAACGCGUAGGUAACUACCUAUUAGAGGGGGAUAACUAUUGGAAACGAUACCUAAUACCGCCUACUAGUAGAUGUCCCUGCGUUGUAUUAGCUAGUAGGUCGGGUAAUGGCCUACCUAGGUAACUGUACAUAGCCGAGCUGAGAGGGUGAUCGGCACAACUGGGACCGAGUCACGGCCCAGAAUCCUACGGGAGGCAUCAGUAGGGAAUCUUCGGAAAUGGGGGGAACCCUGACCGAGCAAAGCCGCGUGAGUGAAGAAGGUUUUCGGAUCGGAAAGCUCUGUUGUUAGGGAAGCGGUACUUAACCAGAAAGGGACGGCUAACUACGUGCCAGCAGCCGCGGUAAUUC
rnacentral:rRNA from 1 species